rnacentral:snRNA from 1 species
AUAAUCUUGUAAUUAUUUUUUAAACAAUGAGAAGAAUAUUAUCAUGGCCCUUGCUUAAGGAUGACACGGAUAAAUCGAGAAAUGGUCAUAUCUUUU